rnacentral:misc_RNA from 1 species
UACUCUCACACUCUCCGAUUUCAGAUCGGGAGUAGGUGGACUUGGAUGUUGCUGCUUUGUUGUCAGGCUCAUCUCAAAUGUCUUAGUGCAACUCUACUUGGACAUAGUACAGCGUGAUAAGUAUCUUUGCUGGCCCCCUCAUAAGAGGAUGUCCAAUUUGGAGCUCUGUGCUUCAAACUGUUCGGACAAUCUCCGACA